rnacentral:rRNA from 1 species
UACGGAGGGGACUAGCGUUGUUCGGAAUUACUGGGCGUAAAGCGCGCGUAGGCGGAUUUGCAAGUCGGGGGUGAAAUCCCGAGGCCCAACCUCGGAACUGCCUUCGAUACUGCAAAUCUCGAGUCCGGAAGAGGUGAGUGGAAUUCCCAGUGUAGAGGUGAAAUUCGUAGAUAUUGGGAAGAACACCGAUGGCGAAGGCAGCCAUCUGGACCGACACUGACGCUGAGGCGCGAAAGCGUGGGGAGCAAACAGG